UGAGUUAGAAUAAACUGUCAAGACUUAAAACUUACUUACUUUACCUUUCACCAUGGGACUUGUAACCGUCACUUCUGUCUUGAGUGGUUAAAAGAUAGAACAGUCCCGUCAAGUGCCAUGUCUCUUAUUCUUGAUCAGCUAUAGCUCUGGAGUUUUUGUAGAUUUUCAAAUAAAACUCAGAGAUUCCUUUGUAUGACUCUCUCAUAUCUCUCUUUUGUGGUAUUUCUGGAUCCUUACCAAGGCAGUGAUGGUAUAUGCCUUCUCUCAAAAUAUGUGGUAUUUGUGGUAUAAGGCAUAGUGACAUUGCCUUCUCUCUCACCCUACUCUAAUAAGGCUUUAAUAUCUGGAGCUCAUAGGUGGGAGAUAAAGUAUACAUACUUUCAAGACAUGUAUUGCAUAGUCAAACCAUGGAUCCAAAGAAACAAAUCAAUAAGCCAAAUCAAGAUGUGCAUGUGUGGCGAAUGAAUGGUGAUGAUGGUGAUAACAAUGGUGAAAGUCUAAUUCUACUUUUGCUCUUAUGAGGGGACACAUACCUUCCUUGCUUUUUGAAACUUUAUGAGGAGAAUGAGAUGCUCUUCUUUUUCUUUCCUCUCAGGUGGGUAUCUUGUACCCCUAAUUCUACUGUCGGACACUUGUCCAUUUUUACCUCUCGUCUCACUUUUUCUUUCUUUCGAGAUUCCGGGCACUUGCCCCUUUUUAUUUCCUCGUUUAUUCUCUUUUUUUUUUCUUUUCUUCUCUUUUCUUCUUUUUUUUAGAGCACUCAUCUCCUGAAAUAAUGUAGCAAGUGGUAGUAACCAAAAUAACUAGAGCAUUUAUUUCACAGGGAAUAACAGGGAUAGGAAAAUGUUUUUGGUUAUUCUCUCCCGGAUUAGGAGUAGAAUGAUUUUGGGUGAAACUGGAGAUGGAAAUGGAUGGAUAUAUGUGGAUGGUACUUCCGGAGUAGAAGUAGCAUAUAUGAGUGAACGUGCAAGUGAAUCUUGAUUUAACCACAUGACAAGCUCCUAAGGGUCUACACAGCUUGACCACACUCAAUGCUCAUAAGCAGUAAAUAAAUGUGUGGCUCAAAGUCUAGCAAGCAUGUAUACAUGGCUGUGGUAGGAAUUUAAACUUUCAUCAUACAGGAACUCAUCAUGCAAUAUUUUAAAGAUUUUUCAAAGAUAAAAUUCUCCAGAAUUCUAGCAUCUCUAGGAAUAGAUAAACAGCAGCUCAACCUUCCCAUAUCGUAUCCGUUAACAACUUAGACUUUAGAUCAAGUUUUCAUCCCACAAGUUUAGGUCUAGAGCAAGCUUUAAAUUAUAACAGUUAUAUCUAAACUUGAGAGAGAACUUAAAAUUUGCAAAUUAGGCAGAGCAGCUAUUCAUCAUAUCCAUGCUAGAGUUUUAUUAUUAAGAUUCAGAUUAGCAUAGCCACUUUAUUUAUUUAUUAAACACACUAAGCAAAAGAUAUAUAUAUAUAAGCACAAAAUCUUUAUUUGGUUUUUCAUAGUUUAUGUAUUUUAAUAUUAUAAUAUAAUAUAAGUAUAAAGAUAGGUAGAAAUACUUAGCGAGAUAAAUAGGGGUGCUCUCCCCCAAGCUGAAUUUUGACGUAAUUUCUCUUAAUGUAGCUAGCAGGUGGCAGAGGUGUAUUUGAAAGUCAGCAGCAUUCUGACAGCGAUUAGAAUGUCCUCCAUCUGCUAGUCUUCUUGAUUCUUAAAUUCUGUGGAGCUCAAAUAGACAACAAAGCUUGUGGAACUAAUUAAGUGUUAGCAUAAAUAUCUAGCCUUCAUCACGUUGAGCUUCCUCAAUAAAUAUUACUCCCUGUUUUUAUAUUUUUAUUUUAUAAAGUAGAAAAGAAAUAUUUAUUUUAUUUUUAUGCCACCACAGUGAAGGUACUUAUGGGUUUUAUGCCAUUCGUAUACUCAAAUGGGGCUUAGUAUUUUUUUAACAUUUUUAUUUUCUUUUCAAGAUAGCAUGAUUAACUAAUAAUCUAUUUAAGGAAAGUAAAUAAUUAAAUGGAAAAGGGAAUGCAGAAAGGAUAAAUAUGGAUAACUACCAAUCUUACCUUUCGGCGAGGGUUCAAUGUUUUAAGUCUUCUUGUCAAGACUUCUCAUCGUGUUCAUUCUUCAGGUGCGUCAUUUGAUUCAGGUGCGGACCUUGAUGUCUGCACCUUUUAAUACGGUGUCACCCAUGUUCUUCGUUUGCCCAGCAGUUCGAAUUGCGGUGUUAGCAGUAUCUUGCUCAGCGUGUUUGUGCUCGUAGUGUACCUGCUCAUAGAGACAAGGCAGAGAUCAAGUGCAUGGGCCCUGUUGGUGGAAAACACCAACAGAACCAAAAGUGUAUUUGUUCUUCUCUAACCUUAAGCAUAGUGAGCAAGACAAAGUUGAUGGAUAAUAAGUUCAUGAGUGUAGCACUUAUAACAUUUGUCAGAUCAGAUCGCUCAACCUUAUGGAAAGAUAAUCUAUUUAUGUAUAUGUCUUUUUCUUUAUAUCUCUCAAUGAUUGAAUGUGUAAUAUUUUAGCUCAUAUGAUUAGGAGUGUGGGAUCAUGGAGGUAGUACUAAGAACAAGGAUUAAAGGACUAAACAUGUUUAAUCAGAUGGGUUGGUUAAUCUAGAGUUGUAAAUCAUACACGUUUGUCUCUUUUAUUUAUAUGAACGCCAGAACCAAGGAGAAGCUUAUAAAAGUGAUAGUCAAGUACCUUAAGAUGUUACCUUGCUCGAAGAGUGAUGGUACAGUAUCAUCUUGUGGAAGCUUUCCUUUCUUAGCGGUUGUGCGUCGUGUUUGUGGCACCCUCCAUGGAUCAUCUCUCUAUGAUGAAUGAGCUAUGUCCUUCUUGUGCAAAUUGUUAAACUUCAUGUGUCACUCUCUUCUUCUCUGAUGUGAGUUUAUCUCAGGACUUCCCAAAUCGAUAUUGAAAGUUUUUCUGCGGGGGUUAGUCCGACAAAAUAUACCAAUAUCUACUCAAGCAGUUUUUUUUUAGUUCAAUAACCAAACUAGACUCCAUGUCUAAUCAGAUUAAGGAAGGCUAUUUAACCUAAGCACCAUGCUUAAUUUAAAUGCCAAUGGAAGUAUGGCGAGUACUUCCAAACCAACACUUGCUAGUAAAUAGACAAAGGUAGCAUGACAGCGUUUAUAGAGAUCUACUCAAGUGGAGAUGAAGUAGUGUGAUUAGUAUUUAACAAAUUGAGCAUGUCUCAAAGGUAGGGACAACCAGCAUAGCAACAUGGCAAAGGAUGUUUUUAUGUAAAGUACUCCUCCAAGCUUGAAUUUUGCAGAAUUCAAGUUUGGAUGAAUUUAAUUCAGUGUUGCAUGAUGAUUGGUUGGACAUACCUUGUGCUUGUCAUUCAUCCGAUCUUCUUGCUCCAAUCCUAGAAAGGUUAGUGACAAGAAUACCCGAAGGAAUAUUUUUUUUUUACAAUUAUCCUUAUAUGCUCAAUACACAAGGUAAUGUUGCAAAUAAUUAAAAGCUCGUGUUACAAUCUGAUCAAUGCUUAUUUUAAGACACUAAGCUUGUCCUUGGGAAACCAUCAGUUUAUGUUGGCGAAGUGGUUUCCCCUCCGACGCCAACCUAUAUCGAGAUCAACUCAACGAGAUCUGCAAUAUUUAUUAUAGACAUAUGCAUCGACAACCGCCCUUUUAAAGUUUUUAUAAAUAGAAAGGAAGAGGGGGUUGGAGAUCUCAAGUGUGGUGAUGUCGGAGAGACCAAUAGAUUGGGAAGAUGUUGCAUAUGAGCAUGGAGUAAACGAAGUGGCUAUGAAAUAAAUUCCAUGCUCAUUAAUGUUAUCUUCGUCUCUAAUCUGAAUGUUCGGAGUUUCUCCUGGAUUGGUCUCACCUAUGUCCUCUUCUGUAGUUGGAUGAAUCUCAUCUUCAAAGGGAGUCAAGAACUCACCAUUUGAAAUUGAGCCAAAGUCAGAACCCAUUAAGGCUUCUUCCUUAUCCAUCCAUUCUACACAUUCUAGCCAUUUAGAACUUGUGAUCAUGGAAGGGGAGUAGAUAGAAUUGUCUAUAUGGCUUAGCUCUCCUUCACUUGAUAUGUCAUCCUCGACUUCUUCAUGAUAGGAACCAGGAUAUUCUCUAAGAGAAACAUUAUUGCAAGGAUUUGAAUUAUCCCUGCUUGAAGGUCUCUUAUAGAACCAGAAGUCUAAACCAUCAGCAUCUAAAAGAUUUAAGGUUGGAACUCCUUCCUCUCUUGGAGAAUUUUGGGGUAUUGAUGGUUUAGGAUCGAUAGCUAAAGUUUGGGAUUGAAGUGGUUGUGAUCUGGCUAUCGAAACUUCUUCUUCUUGCCUAGGAACUGGUUCUUUCUCUUUCUCAGGGAUAUAAAAGCUAGGAGACUUUCCGCUCAUUAAAUCAAUCAAAUUCCAAGCUUCACUAGCGGAUAGGUGGUGGAAAGAUCCUCUAGAGGCCGCAUGAAGGGUUUGCUUAUCUUCCUUACUAAGGCCCUCAAAAAAGUGAAUUAGAAGAACUUCUUCUAGAAUAGAAAGUUUUGGGCCAGUGAGAGUAAGGUUAAUAAAGCGGUCCCAUGAUUUGCCAAGAGAUUCUUCUUCCAGUUGUCUAAAAGAAAGAAUCUCACACCGAAGUUCCACCACUUUGGAGAUUGGAAAAUAUUUAGAAAGAAAACUACUAUAUAACUCCUUCCAAUCUCCAUGAGCACUCCCUACUUUGAGGUUAUACCAAUGUCUAGCUUUUCCCGUUAAAGAGAACGGAAAGAGCUUCCAUUUAAGGGUCUCAUCGGACAUGCCUUCUAUGCGAAGGAGGUCACAGACUCGAUAAAACUCUCUUAGGUGUGUGUAUGGGUUUUCCUCACCUUCUCCUGAGAAAGGUUGUUUUUGAAUAAAUUCUAUGUAUUCGGGGUCUAUCUCAAAACUCGAUGCUAUGAUAGGCUUUGAAGAUUUUGGUGGUUCGAGAUGUGUGCCCAUAGGUCUAUGAAAUUCAUAGAUAGACAUGUUUGAAUUCAUAAUAGACCAGAGAUCAAGGAUUAGAUAAGAAGAAAGAAUAGCAGAGAUGAGGCAAAGGAUAAAAGGAAAAUAUUUUUUUUUUGUUAUAUAUUUUUUUUUAUAAAAUGAUUAAACUAGUUCGUAGUCAACUCAGCAACCGUUUCCCCGGCAACGGCGCCAAAAAUGCUUGUUGACACUUGCUAACACCACUUGAAUACUAGGUUGUCAUCCCCAGCAUGGCACUAGAGUGUACUAUGGUAUUUAUACGCAAACAGAUAAUCCGCAAGCGCACGGAUACCGUUGAAGCUUUUACCCGGUUAAAGGUUUUAUCGUAUCCACAGGGAAACGGGAGAACCAACUACGCUCUAACUUAACCAAGAUAGAUAGAUAGGUGUAAAUAGGAAAGUUGAUAGAAUCGAAUAAGAACAAUAUUAAAGGUAAGAUAACAGUGAGUGAUAAUAUGGGAAUAGAGAGUAGAGCAAUUCUAGUAUAUGGGCGAUGGUAGCAGAAUAGAGAGGAUAACUAUGGUUUCUCUACUUCAAAGGGGUAUGUCUAUGUCUGGGACGAACCACGUGAUAAGAGUACACCACAAAGGAUGCUUAUCCAUAGGCCGAUAAACCCUACCCGUCCUGCUAACGAGAGGUGGACUACAGGGGACCAACGUAACUGUCACCUACGCGGCCUACCACACGAUCCAGCUAGUCAGGGGAUAUCCACAAGUAAUCUAGGUCUAAGCACCACGCUUACACCUAUACUACAACUCUAACCUAUAGGGUCCUAUAGAUUAGAAGUACUCAAAAGAGUUGUGAACCAGAACAUACAUGAUUAGUAAUUGCAUAAUGAAUUAGAAGUAGAUUACCAGAGUCAUCCCAUGAGCAAGCUUGAUUAGAGCUUGAUCAUGGCGAAGUACAACCGAAGGAAGAACCGACAGGCCGGCCUCUCCUCUAAUCCUCCUUCGCUCUCCAUCUCGCUACUAUCUAGAUCUACUCUAGUUUAGAGAAGAGAGGAGAGCUCUCAUCUCUAAACCCUAGAUUUUGCUCUGUCUAUGAAUAAUGAAUAAUGAUCAAGGGGUGCCUCCUCCAGGGGCCAGGGGGUCUGGUUUUAUAGUCCCCUCAAGUGAACCUGGGCCGUCGGAUCAAACCGACAUUGAUUGAACGGUUAUUCUUGAUCCUUUAGGUCAGUGGAGCAUAAUCCGCGAGAUUGAGCGUGAUUGGCCACAGGAGGUGGGCGGGCGCCCAGUAGGACAGGGCGGGCGCCCUGUCUCUGGCCCCGUUUCGCCUCCGCUUCGGUCUCGUGGCUUCUGGAGUCUUCUAGAUGUAAGAUAAUUGUACGGCACGUUGAUAUCUCUAUGUAAUCCCGACGUGUGGGCCUUUCUUCCUUAUUUCCUGAUAACCCCCUACAGAAAUAGACAAACACCAAAACUCGUAGAAUUCUGUCAGAUAAAACCCUAAGUCUUGAUGUUGAUUUCAUUUGGAUCCUUUUCUUUGUUUAUUUGAUAGUUAAAUUUGAUACUUAAGGACCGUCAACAAACUCCCCCAAGCUUACCUCUUGCUCGUCCCUGAGAAUGGAUAGACUCAGCUAUGGAUCAUAAGUUGUUGCAAUAUCUUUAAAAAUUGACGGUACACAUGCUUUUAAAUGAAGUCUCAUCUCUGAGUUAGAGUAAACUGUCAAGACUUAAAACUUACUUACUUUACCUUUCACCAUGGGACUUGUAACCGUCACUUCUGUCUUGAGUGGUUAAAAGAUAGAACAGUCCCGUCAAGUGCCAUGUCUCUUAUUCUUGAUCAGCUAUAGCUCUGGAGUUUUUGUAGAUUUUCAAAUAAAACUCAGAGAUUCCUUUGUAUGACUCUCUCAUAUCUCUCUUUUGUGGUAUUUCUGGAUCCUUACCAAAGCAGUGAUGGUAUAUGCCUUCUCUCAAAAUAUGUGGUAUUUGUGGUAUAAGGCAUAGUGACAUUGCCUUCUCUCUCACCCUACUCUAAUAAGGCUUUAAUAUCUGGAGCUCAUAGGUGGGAGAUAAAGUAUACAUACUUACAAGACAUGUAUUGCAUAGUCAAACCAUGGAUCCAAAGAAACAAAUCAAUAAGCCAAAUCAAGAUGUGCAUGUGUGGCGAAUGAAUGGUGAUGAUGGUGAUAACAAUGGUGAAAGUCUAAUUCUACUUUUGCUCUUAUGAGGGGAUACAUACCUUCCUUGCUUUUUGAAACUUUAUGAGGAGAAUGAGAUGCUCUUCUUUUUGUUUCCUCUCAGGUGGGUAUCUUGUACCCCUAAUUCUACUGUCGGACACUUGUCCAUUUUUACCUCUCGUCUCACUUUUUCUUUCUUUCGAGGUUCCGGGCACUUGCCCCUUUUUAUUUCCUCGUUUAUUCUCAUUUUUUUUUCUUUUCUUCUCUUUUCUUCUUUUUUUUAGAGCACUCAUCUCCUGAAAUAAUGUAGCAAGUGGUAGUAACCAAAAUAACUAGAGCAUUUAUUUCACAGGGAAUAACAGGGAUAGGAAAAUGUUUUUGGUUAUUCUCUCCCGGAUUAGGAGUAGAAUGAUUUUGGGUGAAACUGGAGAUGGAAAUGGAUGGAUAUAUGCGGAUGGUACUUCCGGAGUAGAAGUAGCAUAUAUGAGUGAACGUGCAAGUGAAUCUUGAUUUAACCACAUGACAAGCUCCUAAGGGUCUACACAGCUUGACCACACUCAAUGCUCAUAAGCAGUAAAUAAAUGUGUGGCUCAAAGUCUAGCAAGCAUGUAUAUAUGGCUGUGGUAGGAAUUUAAACUUUCAUCAUACAGGAACUCAUCAUGCAAUAUUUUAAAGAUUUUUCAAAGAUAAAAUUCUCCAGAAUUCUAGCAUCUCUAGGAAUAGAUAAACAGCAGCUCAACCUUCCCAUAUCGUAUCCGUUAACAACUUAGACUUUAGAUCAAGUUUUCAUCCCACAAGUUUAGGUCUAGAGCAAGCUUUAAAUUAUAACAGUUAUAUCUAAACUUGAGAGAGAACUUAAAAUUUGCAAAUUAGGCAGAGCAGCUAUUCAUCAUAUCCAUGCUAGAGUUUUAUUAUUAAGAUUCAGAUUAGCAUAGCCACUUUAUUUAUUUAUUAAACACACUAAGCAAAAGAUAUAUAUAUAUAAGCACAAAAUCUUUAUUUGGUUUUUCAUAGUUUAUGUAUUUUAAUAUUAUAAUAUAAUAUAAGUAUAAAGAUAGGUAGAAAUACUUAGCGAGAUAAAUAGGGGUGCUCUCCCCCAAGCUGAAUUUUGAUGUAAUUUCUCUUAAUGUAGCUAGCAG
rnacentral:lncRNA from 1 species